GUGAAAUGCUUACUUACAAUAGCUCUAACCAAUAGUACAAAAAAGGUAUUAGGUGAACAAUAGGAGGGCUACAGCUAGGAAGAAGAUGAUGAAGACAGGUGUGGGAGAGGUGCUGCCCUUCAUCAAGUGGAUUGUGUACAGGAAAAUCAGGUGACCCGGUACGACCAACAGGAGCAGCACCUGUGCAGAGCGAUGAUUGGCUCCUGUCAGAGAUAAACCAUACUACAUACAACGCCAACCAAGUCUCCAUUCAAGACAAGCAUCUCAUGUCUACAACUGUCAAUCAUUCCCUGCCAUGUAUCAUCUCCAUUACCGGAAUCUAGAAAGACUUUUAAACUGAACUGCAUCUCUGCCUCCAGCUGCUCAGUAGAUGGGCAUCACCGUAACCCUCACCUAAACCUCAGUGUUUCCCUUGGGGACCCUUAUUGUUGGAGGACAUGUAUAAAAGCACCCCGUGGUCAUGUUCAGGUGAGAGCGUUUUAAUGUAUAUGUCCUUUGUGUGUACAGGUUGUAUGGUGUUGCUGGUGGUUUAUUUCUGCGAGGAACCAUUUUGUGACUAUGUUGUCUUGAAGAAAUGUUUGGGGUGUCGUCGAUUGUUCUAAAUGGUAUAUGUUGACUUUGACCAUCAGUGAGUUUUUCCCUGAGUGACAAUAUGUCUGAUUUUCAUUAUGUAAGGCCACUGCAAUCAUGGCCUUCUAUUUGAAGUCACUUUGUUUGGAGCGGCGUUGCUGGUUUGAGGUACAGGCUGUGCGUUGCUGGUUUGAGGUACAGGCUGUGCAUUGCUGGUUUGAGGUACAGGCUGUGCCCUCCAAAAAGGGCCCUGUCUAAGUAAAGUAAUUUCUAUUUCUACAAUAUCUAUUGUUUAUGUCAAUUCUGUGGUUAACUGUUCUUUCUUUUGUACCAUCAGAAGUACAGUAUUGUUUGUCACUGUUUUUGGUAAUCUUCUGAACUAGGUCAAUGGAAUUUCUGUGAAAGCACUCUUGUAUUUCAGAAAGCUGUCUAGUGGAAGUAACAGAUCUACGAAGUCAUUUUGGUGUACUCUUGUUAAUGUGUGUUAUUUAUCUGUGUCAAACAAGCAAACCUAAUCCUCAGCUUUACUAAACUUUGCUUGUUCUUUAUCUGCCUUUGUAGUGUUUUCCUUUAAUGGGUCUAGAACCUGUGUCUAAUUUUUAGAUGUUACAAUUUCUCAUAACUUUUGCCCCAACUGAAUAGGUGGCCUAUCAUGAACCUGUGUGUCUUAUGUUCUGGUUUAGUUGUUCCCCUAAUUAAACAGUAACUGGGGUAGUCUUGAAGUUGUGCCAGUUUAGCUAACUAACCCUAGUCGGCAGUAUGCUACAGUCAUGUCUGCAUUACAUUUUUACAUUUAAGUCAUUUAGCAGACGCUCUUAUCCAGAGCGACUUACAAAUUGGCUGCAAAAACAUUACAGUGAAUGCUACAGUAUAUAAAUAUACUACUAUAUUUAGACCAUAGUAUACUAUAGUAUUUUGUAAUGUGGGUUAGCUGUAAAUGUGUAAUAUGUUGGAUGUUUGAACUAGGACCCCUUUUUUUGGAUUAUUCUCAUCAAAUUUCUAAAUGCAUUGUAUCCACAUUUGUGCUUAUAUUGUGUUUUUAAAUAGUCAAAUAAAAAAAUUAAUCAAGGGAUACUACAGUGUAGAGUAUAGUAUUCUACAGUAUACUAAACAAUUAUAUAGAAAGCACUACACGAUCGAGGGCAUGAACUCCCUAAGGCCAGCACGUUCAAAUCAACAACGCAUUGACAAAGCUAGCUAGCAGUCCAAUCGAUCCAAAAAUUCUAAAGUAAGCACUACAUGCUCGAGGGAUACUACAGUCUACCCAGUGUGGAUUAUAUGAUUCUGCACACUACUACAGUUUACUACAAAAUUAUAUAGAAUUCUACAUUAAGUACUGUAAUGAAGUGCUAUUUCCUAUGCAAAUGACCAGCUUACUGCUAUUGCAUUGCUAUAACUGAGACAACACAUAGCAACGUAUUUUCACAGUAAAAACAUGUUAGGGCUCAUACAGGAUAUCUCUCACACACACACUCACUUAAAUCAUCCACAACACUGUCAAAACAGGAUACAUCCUAGCCACAGGUGAUAACCGUCAGUUCGGCCACACCAUCCCGUGACUGCAAGGACACACAGACUUGCCAAGACAGGAACGCACACAUAUACACACACUCACCCCCUCCCCUGGGGAUGGGCUCCAAAGACAAAGAACUCUUCCAACUGCCAAUGGGACGCCGACACCAGUCUGGAGGGAACUGCCAAUCGAAUACCAGCAACCUACCAGAGGCCUGAUCUACCAGAAUCUAUCUACGUCAUACCCAUGUAUAAAAUGAACUGCACACAAUGUGUCGGGGCUCUUUUCAGAAGGUUCCCUAUGAGCUAGACGAAUGAGAGUCCGUGCAGCACGCUUUGCCAGAUAUCUUUACUCUAUAAAAUAAACUGCCUUUACUA